rnacentral:rRNA from 1 species
AUUGAACGCUGGCGGCAGGCCUAACACAUGCAAGUCGAGCGGAUGAAGGGAGCUUGCUCCUGGAUUCAGCGGCGGACGGGUGAGUAAUGCCUAGGAAUCUGCCUGGUAGUGGGGGAUAACGUCCGGAAACGGGCGCUAAUACCGCAUACGUCCUGAGGGAGAAAGUGGGGGAUCUUCGGACCUCACGCUAUCAGAUGAGCCUAGGUCGGAUUAGCUAGUUGGUGGGGUAAAGGCCUACCAAGGCGACGAUCCGUAACUGGUCUGAGAGGAUGAUCAGUCACACUGGAACUGAGACACGGUCCACACUCCUACGGGAGGCAGCAGUGGGGAAUAUUGGACAAUGGGCGAAAGCCUGAUCCAGCCAUGCCGCGUGUGUGAAGAAGGUCUUCGGAUUGUAAAGCACUUUAAGUUGGGAGGAAGGGCAGUAAGUUAAUACCUUGCUGUUUUGACGUUACCAACAGAAUAAGCACCGGCUAACUUCGUG